GUCACAUCACAUUGAAACACCAGUUCCCAUAUGAUCACCGAAGUUAAGCAACGUCGAGCCUGAUCAGUACCUAGAUGGGUGAUCGUUUGAGAAUCCAAGUGCUGUAAG